CCGUAAACGAUGCCAACUAGCGAUCCGCCGGCGGAUUCCAAACGCCCUGGUGGGGAGCUUCCCGGAAACGAUUAAGUCUUCCGGUUCCGGGGGAAGUAUGGUUGCAAAGCUGAAACUUAAAGGAAUUGACGGAAGGGCACCACCAGGAGUGGAGCCUGCGGCUUAAUUUGACUCAACACGGGGAAACUCACCCGGCCCGGACACCGCGAGGAUUGACAGAUUGAUAGCUCUUUCAUGAUUCGGUGGAUGGUGGUGCAUGGCCGUUCUUAGUUCGUGGAGUGAUUUGUCUGGUUUAUUCCGAUAACGAGCGAGACUCUAGCCUACUAACUAGUCCGCGUGCUCCCGCGUGGAGGCACGCCCCCACUGGACUUCUUAGAGGGAUUUUCGGCGUUUCAGCCGCACGAAACUGAGCAAUAACAGGUCUGUGAUGCCCUUAGAUGUCCGGGGCUGCACGCGCGCUACACUGGCGAAAUCAGCGUGCCUGUCCUCUCGCGAAAGCGACUGGUAAACCGGUGAAAAUUCGCCGUGCUUGGGAUCGGAAAUUGCAAUUAUUUUCCGUGAACGAGGAAUUCCAAGUAAGUGCGAGUCAUCAACUCGCGUUGAUUACGUCCCUGCCCCUUUGUAA
rnacentral:rRNA from 1 species